UUUUUAUACUAGAAAAAAAAUAAUCCCAAUAAAAAUAAUCGGCUCUAAUUUUUGUUGCCAUAGAUAGUAAUUUGGGUCUUACUGAUUGAUAAAAAAAAUAUACUACAGACUGGAAAAACCAAUAAUCUCACAUCUGUCUUCAACAUAUCCAGGCAAACGUUCAUCGACGUAAGCCGAGGAUAAUGAUAAAUAAUUCUGAAAUUCAGUACUUCAGUCUUUUCCAGGGGAACUUCAAUCGUUGAAAUCAACGUUCCGAUGUCAUGUGACCAAAUCUUACGUAAUUGAUAAUUUCCACACUUUGGCCUAGUCACCUGCUCAGCUGAUAAAUUAUUGUUUGUGUAGCUUUUCGGAUUAAUAUGCUCUCGUGUUUAUGUACUUAAAAUUUCACUUCUUAGUUAUUAUUUUAUUCUUUCGUUUUGGCGUGAGAAUUCAAUCCAUCAAUAUACAAAUCCGCGUCUUGUAAUUAAUAGAAGGCUAUUGUCUAAUUUAAGAAGUGAUUUUUUCCCAUGGUUCUGCAUUAUUAUAAUUAAUUUAAACAAUUAAACGUGGAUAGCCUCCAGUUCAUCUCAUUUCAUGCUUCGUGAGUCCGGACAAUCGUUGGUAAUAAGCCUCCGACUCAUUGUUGGUGUGCUCAAUGAUCAUAAUCGAGUAGUUUAUGAUUUUUUUUGUCUUUGCACUGAUUAGCUUUGCUAUAUUAAGACGUUCAGACACAUCUGGAUAUCACUUGCCCGAGAUCAUCUCGGGGUGAAGGAGGCAGUCAUUCUCCUUCGCGUUGCUGAUGUGCUCAUUACUCUCGGUGUACCAAUGCGGUGGAUAUCUCUUCGGACCAUCAGAAUUUAUAUGGACUUAACGUUUCUUCGGCUUCCACAACCACCAUGGUACCGCUUUGCAGACUAACUCAAGUAAUGUUUCACAUUGUGCAAUUUCUAUUUUUGAUGCCAGUUUCUAGUAAUGUGUGAAGAAAGAAAUUAUCUCAAUUCACACACUUAACGAAUCUUGAGUUGUGACAUGAAGAUGAGCAAUGUAGGCCUAAUGGAGUUUUAUUUGAGAACAUUCAAGGAUUUCCGUCUAGCAUGAUUCAUUGCAGAAGCUCUGGAAAGCUUUAGCUUGGUGGUUAGAAUGCUCACCUUUAACCCCAUGCUUCUUGGUAAUUCCGUCACCAUAUGUUAUUACCAAGGUAGAUUAUUUUGAAUUGGUGAGUAGAUAGGACGGGUCAUUUACGUUUUGAAAAGAACUACAAAAUCUGCUAAAUGUGCCCUAUAUAUUUUCGAUCGUUGUUC